GCCUAACACAUGCAAGUCGAGCGGCAGCACGGGUACUUGUACCUGGUGGCGAGCGGCGGACGGGUGAGUAAUGCCUAGGAAUCUGCCUGGUAGUGGGGGAUAACGCUCGGAAACGGACGCUAAUACCGCAUACGUCCUACGGGAGAAAGCAGGGGACCUUCGGGCCUUGCGCUAUCAGAUGAGCCUAGGUCGGAUUAGCUAGUUGGUGAGGUAAUGGCUCACCAAGGCGACGAUCCGUAACUGGUCUGAGAGGAUGAUCAGUCACACUGGAACUGAGACACGGUCCAGACUCCUACGGGAGGCAGCAGUGGGGAAUAUUGGACAAUGGGCGAAAGCCUGAUCCAGCCAUGCCGCGUGUGUGAAGAAGGUCUUCGGAUUGUAAAGCACUUUAAGUUGGGAGGAAGGGCAGUUACCUAAUACGUAUCUGUUUUGACGUUACCGACAGAAUAAGCACCGGCUAACUCUGUGCCAGCAGCCGCGGUAAUUC
rnacentral:rRNA from 1 species